UACGAAGGGGGCUAGCGUUGCUCGGAAUUACUGGGCGUAAAGGGCGCGUAGGCGGGUCGUUUAGUUAGAGGUGAAAGCCCAGGGCUCAACCCUGGAAUAGCCUUUAAUACUGGCGGCCUUGAGUAUGGCAGAGGUGUGUGGAACUCCGAGUGUAGAGGUGAAAUUCGUAGAUAUUCGGAAGAACACCAGUGGCGAAGGCGACACACUGGGCCAUUACUGACGCUGAGGCGCGAAAGCGUGGGUAGCAAACAGG
rnacentral:rRNA from 1 species